rnacentral:rRNA from 1 species
AAAGAUUAAGCCAUGCAUGUCUAAGUAUAAGCAAUUAUACAGCGAAACUGCGAAUGGCUCAUUAAAUCAGUUAUCGUUUAUUUGAUAGUACCUUACUACAUGGAUAACCGUGGUAAUUCUAGAGCUAAUACAUGCUAAAAAUCCCGACUUCGGAAGGGAUGUAUUUAUUAGAUUAAAAACCAAUGCCCUUCGGGGCUCUCUGGUGAUUCAUAAUAACUUCUCGAAUCGCACGGCCUUGCGCCGGCGAUGGUUCAUUCAAAUUUCUGCCCUAUCAACUUUCGACGGCUGGGUCUUGGCCAGCCAUGGUGA